rnacentral:rRNA from 1 species
UACAGAGGUCUCAAGCGUUGUUCGGAUUCAUUGGGCGUAAAGGGUGUGUAGGUGGCGCCGUAAGUCGGGUGUGAAAUUUCGGAGCUUAACUCCGAAACUGCAUUCGAUACUGCGGUGCUUGAGGACUGGAGAGGAGACUGGAAUUCAUGGUGUAGCAGUGAAAUGCGUAGAGAUCAUGAGGAAGACCAGUGGCGAAGGCGGGUCUCUGGACAGUUCCUGACACUGAGACACGAAGGCCAGGGGAGCAAACAGGG